GGAAACCUUGUUACGACUUUUACUUCCUCUAAAUGACCAAGUUUGACCAAGUUUUCGGCCUGGGGUGAUGGUCGCCCAUCUCCCCUGGCCAAUCCCAAGGCCUCACUGAGCCAUUCAAUCGGUAGUAGCGAC
rnacentral:rRNA from 1 species